GUGUCAGCCGCCGCGGUAAUACGAAGGGCCCGAGCGUUAAUCGGAAUCACUGGGCUUAAAGGGUGCGUAGGCGGGCCCACCAGUGUCAUGUGAAAUCCCACGGCUCAACCGUGGAACUGCUUGGCAUACUGUGGGCCUAGAGGUUGGCAGAGGUCGCCGGAACUCUAGGUGUAGCGGUGAAAUGCGUAGAUAUUCUAGAGGAACGCCCAAGGCGAAGGCAGGCGGCUGGGCCGAUUCUGACGCUGAGGCACGAAAGCAUGGGUAGCGAACGGGAUUAGAUACCCCGGUAGUCNAUGCUGUAAACGAUGUGCACUUGAUCCCGGAGACUCUGACGUCAUCGGGGUCGGAGCAAAAGUCUUAAGUGCACCGCCUGGGGAGUACGGUCGCAAGGCUAAAACUCAAAGGAAUUGACGGGGGCUCACACAAGCGGUGGAGCAUGUGGCUUAAUUCGAAGCAACGCGAAGAACCUUAUCCAGGGUUUGACAUGCACGGAUUAACCCCGAGAAACCGGGGCCACGCCCUUGUGGUGGAACGUGCACAGGUGCUGCAUGGCUGUCGUCAGCUCGUGCUGUGAAGUGUCGGGUUAAGUCCCUUAACGAGCGAAACCCUUGCCGCUAGUUGCCAGCGGGUAAUGCCGGGGACUCUAGCGGGACUGCCGGUGUCAAACCGGAGGAAGGUGGGGGACGACGUCAAGUCCUCAUGGCCUUUAUGCCCUGGGCUGCACACGUGCUACAAUGGCGAGUACAGAGCGACGCGAUGCCGCGAGGCGGAGCAAAUCGCAAAAAACUCGCCCCAGUUCGGAUAGCAGUCUGCAACUCGACUGCUUGAAGGUGGAAUCGCUAGUAAUCGCGUAUCAGCUACGACGCGGUGAAUGUGUUCCUGAGCCUUGCACACACCGCCCGUC
rnacentral:rRNA from 1 species